UACGUAGGGUCCGAGCGUUGUCCGGAAUUACUGGGCGUAAAGAGCUCGUAGGUGGUUUGUCGCGUUGUCCCGUGAAAACUCACAGCUCAACUGUGGGCGUGCGGGCGAUACGGGCAGACUGGAGUACUGCAGGGGAGACUGGAAUUCCGUGGUGUAGCGGUGGAAUGCGCAGAUAUCCAGGAGGAACACCCGGUGGCGAAG
rnacentral:rRNA from 1 species